AAACAAGAAGCAAAAAUUGCGUUUAGUUUCGACCUAAAAAUAUGGCCCAUAGCCCUUGUUUU
rnacentral:tRNA from 1 species